AACGAACGCUGGCGGCAGGCCUAACACAUGCAAGUCGAGCGAGACCUUCGGGUCUAGCGGCGGACGGGUGAGUAACGCGUGGGAACGUGCCCUUUGCUACGGAAUAGCCCCGGGAAACUGGGAGUAAUACCGUAUGUGCCCUUCGGGGGAAAGAUUUAUCGGCAAAGGAUCGGCCCGCGUUGGAUUAGGUAGUUGGUGGGGUAAUGGCCUACCAAGCCGACGAUCCAUAGCUGGUUUGAGAGGAUGAUCAGCCACACUGGGACUGAGACACGGCCCAGACUCCUACGGGAGGCAGCAGUGGGGAAUCUUAGACAAUGGGGGAAACCCUGAUCUAGCCAUGCCGCGUGAGCGAUGAAGGCCUUAGGGUUGUAAAGCUCUUUCAGGUGGGAAGAUAAUGACGGUACCACCAGAAGAAGCCCCGGCUAACUCCGUGCCAGCCGCCGCGGUAA
rnacentral:rRNA from 1 species